AGUGGCGCACGGGUGAGUAACUCGUAGGUAAUCUACCUUUGGAUGGGGAAUAACUACCGGAAACGGUUGCUAAUACCGCAUAAUGCAGCGGCACCUAAUGGUGACAGUUGUUAAAGCGGGGGAUCGUAAGACCUCGCGUCUGAAGAGGAGCCUGCGGCAGAUUAGCUAGUUGGUAAGGUAAUGGCUUACCAAGGCGAUGAUCUGUAGCCGGCCUGAGAGGGCGGUCGGCCACACUGACACUGACAUACGGGUCAGACUCCUACGGGAGGCAGCAGUCGGGAAUUUUGGGCAAUGGGCGAAAGCCUGACCCAGCAACGCCGCGUGAAGGAUGAAAUCCUUCGGGAUGUAAACUUCGCAAGAACGGGAAGAAUAAGUAGGGGACAAUACCCCCUAUGAUGACGGUACUGUUUGUAAGCUCCGGCUAACUCCGUGCCAGCAGCCGCGGUAAUACGGGGGGAGCAAGCGUUGUUCGGAUUUACUGGGCGUAAAGGGCGCGUAGGCGGCCACCGCAAGUCAGUUGUGAAAUCUCUGGGCUUAACCCAGAAAGGUCAACUGAUACUGCGGGGCUAGAGUGCAGAAGGGGCAACUGGAAUUCUCGGUGUAGCGGUGAAAUGCGUAGAUAUCGAGAGGAACACCUGCGGCGAAGGCGGUUGCUGGGCUGACACUGACGCUGAG
rnacentral:rRNA from 1 species